rnacentral:rRNA from 1 species
AUUGAACGCUGGCGGCAUGCCUUACACAUGCAAGUCGAACGUGAAAGCGGGGCAACCCGCAAGUAGAGUGGCGGACGGGUGAGUAAUACAUCGGAACGUGUCCAGUAAUGGGGGAUAACCUAGCGAAAGUUAGGCUAAUACCGCAUACGAUCUGCGGAUGAAAGCGGGGGAUGCGGCACUAAAGGCUUUUGGCGAAGGUGGCCAAAGGUGAGUCAAGAGCUUUUAGUGCNGCACCUCGCGUUAUUGGAGCGGCUGAUGUCUGAUUAGCUAGUUGGUGAGGUAAGGCUUACCAAGGCGACGAUCAGUAGCUGGUCUGAGAGGACGGCCAGCCACACUGGGACUGAGACACGGCCCAGACUCCUACGGGAGGCAGC